CCUACGGGUGGCAGCAGUGAGGAAUAUUGGUCAAUGGGCGCAAGCCUGAACCAGCCAAGUCGCGUGAGGGAAGACGGCCCUACGGGUUGUAAACCUCUUUUGCCGGGGAGCAAGCCUGAGCACGUGUGCCCAGGCGGAGAGUACCCGGAGAAAAAGCAUCGGCUAACUCCGUGCCAGCAGCCGCGGUAAUACGGAGGAUGCGAGCGUUAUCCGGAUUUAUUGGGUUUAAAGGGUGCGUAGGCGGUUCGAUAAGUUAGAGGUGAAAUCCCGGGGCUCAACUCCGGCACUGCCUCUGAUACUGUCGGGCUAGAGUUUAGUUGCGGUAGGCGGAAUGUAUGGUGUAGCGGUGAAAUGCAUAGAGAUCAUACAGAACACCGAUUGCGAAGGCAGCUUACCAAACUACGACUGACGUUGAGGCACGAAAGCGUGGGGAGCAAACAGGAUUAGAUACCCUGGUAGUC
rnacentral:rRNA from 1 species